GACGAACGCUGGCGGCGUGCCUAAUACAUGCAAGUGGGACGCAAGGGAACACACUGUGCUUGCACACCGUGUUUUCUUGAGUCGCGAACGGGUGAGUAACGCGUAGGUAACCUGCCUAUUAGCGGGGGAUAACUAUUGGAAACGAUAGCUAAUACCGCAUAAUAUUAAUUAUUGCAUGAUAAUUGAUUGAAAGAUGCAAGCGCAUCACUAGUAGAUGGACCUGCGUUGUAUUAGCUAGUUGGUAAGGUAAGAGCUUACCAAGGCGACGAUACAUAGCCGACCUGAGAGGGUGAUCGGCCACACUGGGACUGAGACACGGCCCAGACUCCUACGGGAGGCAGCAGUAGGGAAUCUUCGGCAAUGGACGAAAGUCUGACCGAGCAACGCCGCGUGAGUGAAGAAGGUUUUCGGAUCGUAAAGCUCUGUUGUAAGUCAAGAACGUGUGUGAGAGUGGAAAGUUCACACAGUGACGGAGCUACCAGAAAGGACG
rnacentral:rRNA from 1 species